rnacentral:lncRNA from 1 species
UGAAAAUUGUAAAAUAUUGAUUUACAUAUUGAUUUUUAUGUAUAUGGAAAGUGUUUUGAUUGCUUUCAAUUAUGCCAUGUGUACAGAAAAUAAAAUGUUAGACAGCUAAAUAUUUGCAAAGGUGCAACACAAAAAUAACAGUUAAGAGUGUUGAUACAGAAAAGAAGACUGUUUAACAGAUUUUAAGUAAUAUAAAAUUGCAUGUUUUCUAAACAGUCACUCCAGUUUAGAUUUUGCAUCAUGAAUCACAGAUUGAACACAGAGAGAGUAAAAGUUGUAUAUGUGCUGUUCAAUCACGUUCUCUGUGUUCUGCACUAUACAUCAAAAGUGAACGUUCAAAUUUAACCUUCUAAAUAUUUCUGACAAAUGAUUGCUAACAAAAACCACAGAUGCUCUCAUCUGACUCUUCCCAGUAGCUGCCUUAUAUUGUAGCAGAUCUUAAUAUGAAAAUACAGCUCAACCUCACUGUUAGAACAUUGAAUAGUGUUAAGUAAAUUGAGUGUGUUCAGUGAUAUCCAGCAUAUACCAGAGGCAUUUUAACAAUGCACUCAUUCAAUAUUUGAAACAAAAUAUAAUUGAAUUGGAGGCUGAAAAAAUGUAGAAAGGUUCCCUAGAUGAGAUGAUCCAAUGCUUUCCAUAUUCCCAGAUCAGUAGUUGCUAUCUAUUUCUUUGAACAUCCUGUGGUGUUUCUUACCUAAUCUUACCUUGUGAAAAUAAAUAUUUUUCCACUACAGUAUUUACUAAUGAUUCUCAAAUGUACUUCAAUGUUAUAUAUAAAAAUGGGUUUCUGGUUUGAUACUGGGAAUGACAAUGAUUUUAUGAAAGACACAGAGAGGAGUAUUGCUUAACCCUUUCUUUAUUGUCCACCAAUAGCAGCAAAGAACACAAAUAGAAAAAAUAGAACAUAUACAGUAAGACACCAGCCAAUCCCCAUCCAAGUCCCAGUAUAACAGCAAGCACCGCCUCUAAAGCUGCCUCUUUCUUUGGAGAUGCGACACAUGAGAAGAGAUAUUAAACAGAGAUAUUAAACAGAAAAUCCCAACAUACAGAAAACACGGUCAUGAAAUCCAGAAAAUGCCAGUCCAUGGAACUUCUCAACCAAAAACAAACUUUAAGACAGUAAUGGAAUCCAGCCAUCAUUAGCGAAACAGACCGGGAAGAAGUGAGGAUCAUCGAGCAACACCGAAUCAAGCUGUGAAAACACAAAGAACAGGAGCCCAAUGUUUAUAUCGGUACUAAAACCAAAUUGCAAAUGUCAAUAAACAUGAAUCCAAUAAAAAGCCGAUCGUUAUUACAAACAGUGCAAACCCACCAUACAAAAACAUGAAAAAGUUGAACCAGGACAUACGUGAACAUAAAACCACGAAAUAAAUACAGUGCAUACAACAUAAUACCUACCACACCCUGGAAUCCCAAUAUGAGAGAAAAAGUUAGAAGGGAGGAAUAAAACAAGUUAAACAAACUCACAAAGGUGGGACAAUACUCGCCUUGGUGUCUAAUAAAAUCAUAAAUUUUCAACAUGAAAUAGCAAAAUCAUGUAAUUUUAUGUCAAGACAUGGAGGCUGAUAUUGCAAGUUUAAAGCUGACCAACAACCGAAGAAAAAAUGUGAGAGACUAGCCUAAAAUAAAAUUUGCAGGAAAGCAUCCACUGUCUCCACAGCCGGGUCCGGGUGCCAGUUGUAGAACCGCGACAAUUGGGUGUUGAGACGGGAUGCAAAUAGUUCGAUGGCAAAAGGACCCCAGAGAGACAAGAUAGUGGAGAACACCCCUAACCUCCAGUUGCUGUUGUCCUAAAGAUAGCAUGAACUCCAGUCCGCGUAAAUGUUUUGGAGUCACGGGAGGUACUCUGCCUGGACCACCAAAUCUCUGGCCAAGCAAUACAUCCAAACAUCCUUCACCAGGCUAGGCAGAACUGCCGACUGUGUGCCACCCAUGUAAUUGACAUAACGAACCACCGAGACGUUGUCCAUGCGCAGCCGAAUGCAUGCGCUGGCAGUCCCAUUUGAGAUACUCUUUAAAAAAAGCAGAGAGGUUGUGGAUCCACCAAGUCAAUUUGUCUCAUGUCUCAGUGUCCAGAGGGACCAUAUCCACGGAGGAGGUGCUGUUGCGGACGUGUGUGAUCUUCAGUUGCUGGAGGGCACGGUAAUGAAGAGGAGUCGGAAACACCGCUUGAAUUUAGGAUGCCAGCAGGCCAAUGAUCCAUGCCAGAUGGCGUAGCAUGUGUGCCAGUGUGUAGCAUAAUUGCUGACAGGUGGUCAGAAUCUUGAAUGUUGGAAGGCUCAGUGACUACGCUCUGGAAUCUACGGUGAAACCGAGGAACUCUAUGCAUCUCGAAGGAGUCAGGCAGGACUUCUACCAGUAGAGGAGGAAACCCAGGUGAGAUAUGAAGUCUAUUGUCCAUUGCAGGUGCCUAAAGAGGACGGAGUGAUCCUGUGCCAUGAUUAGGAUAUCAUCCAAGUAGACCUUGGGUGCGUUGCCUGAAGGGACUGAACCAGAACGCGGCUGGCGCGUUGGUGGACCCAUACUUUCUGUGUCCAGUGGGUGCGAGAGUAAGGCCUGGGAGAUAGUCUGAGAGUGGGCAGAGGACAUGGAGCCCAUAGCUGCAAUAAUGGCAUCAGUGACUGAGCAUUGCAGCGCAAGGGACUGAGUCUCAUCAGGGUGAGACAUAGGGCCAACUACUGAUGGAGGGGAGCUAGAAACUGAAUAGGGGUUCCCCAGGCCUUGAGGCAUAUCCAUCUCAUCAAGGGAAGGGGGCAGGCAGGCACCUUAGGCUUGGGCAUAUUGCAAUGUGAGACCCACAAAAAACCAGCACAAUACUAGACCCUUUUACAUAAAACUACAGCUGUAGGCAAAAUAAUAAUACUACAGGCUAGUAGGGGUUAAUCACCCAAACUAGCUGCACCAAAGAUGGAGAAAGAGGGAAGCUCACAAGGCCCAGACCAUCAGACAGGGUAGAUACAAGGCAAAGAAAGAGCCAGAAGGACGAGUAAAAUCAGAAAAUGGCCACCGUCAGUCUUGUGUGACUCGUGGCAAUAAAUCCCGCGAACGCAUCCAAUUCGCAAACCAAAACUUGGCGAACGGGACAAAUUUAUUGAACAAACUAAUGGACAGCCAUUCGAGCCCAAAAAAAAAAAAGAACUAGAAACCAUUAGUGGAAAAAAUAGUUGAACGACAUGGUUCGCGGCAAAAUUGCCAAACAAUACCAUUUGCGGCCAAUCUCCCAAACGGCAGGAAAUUGCGGCAAAAUUUAUUCAGAAAGCCCAAGUCUGUCGCGAAACAGCCGAACAGAUGGCACAAAAAACAGGUGCAAAACAGCGCCAAACAGCCAGAAAGAAGUGGUAGACCCAAGAAAGACAGAGAAAACAAGGGAAAAUAAGGAGACAAAGGGAGGCAAACCCCAAGGGACCCCCCAAAGGACAGGAGCAACAAGGCAAAGUCAAAAGAGAGGGGAGAAACACAUGCAAGAAAACCCCAGAGGAUGGUCUGGAACCCUGGGCUCAAAGGUAUAUAACAUUAACCAAAAACCAUAUAAAGUAGUAGAAUAAAGUAGAAUAACAAGAUAGAAUCAACUAUGAAAAUAACCGAAACAUAUAGAAGGCAAUUAAAGACAGAUAAUGCUAAGACUAAAAAUUCUGGUACUUAUCUUGACUGUGGAGCAGCAAAGUAAGAGGAAGUUUUAGAGGCGGUGCAUGCUAUUAUACUGGGACUUGGAUGGGGAUUGGCUGGUGUCUCACUGUAUAAGUUCUAUUUUUUUUGUUUGUGUUCUUUUCUGCUAUUGGUGGACAGUAAAGAAAGGGUUGAGCAAUAUGAGCCUCCGUGUCUUGACAUAAAAUCAGGGAUUAUCCAAGUAGCCUACUACUACAUCUGUAUAUACAGUGUCAGCAUUGUUAUUUGAUUUUGUUUUUAUAUUUUUUUGUUUUCAUUUACAUUUUCAAAACAAGUAAUAUUUAAACUGCUGAUAGAUAUCACUUGUUUUUUUUUUUAAAUGUAUUGAAAAGGUGUAGGCUAAUAUUAUACUUUUCUGUAACUAUAUAUGUCUUUAAUUUAUAUACAGAGAAUGCUAUGGAUAAUCAUUCCUAUAUCCUUUGAAUGUAAUAGUCCUAGGAAAGCGCAGCUGAUACCAGAGGUUUAAUUUUCAUUAAUGUGUUAUUGCCUUGUUAUUCUGUUACUUCUAAAGCCUGCGACACCAAUUAGACCCAGAUAUGUAAGUUUAGUCUAAGAUUUAAUAUUUAUAAUUUUUUUAUUAUACAAAAAGUGCAGUCCUCUCUUGACCUUUCAUACUGUUGCAUCCAUGUCUUAUCUUUAUCCAUCUUGUAAAAUGUUUAUGCAUGCAAGAAUGUCAAAC